UAGGAUAGUGGGCGUAAUGAACCAAGGACAGGAGGCGGAGCUAAGGCCUCACGUCACAGCGGAUGGAUAUAACGAAGCUUCUUUGAAGCGUAAAGCAAGUAGCAGGAAGAAAUUAAUUCAGCGAGAUAAUAUAUUACUGUAUUUACAUUUUAAAACUUCAAAGCAAAGUGAUUCUUCAGUUCCGCAAAGGAACAAGUUGUGCUUAUCUACUUCUUACUGGGUUAAACUUGUCCCUGGUCGAAUAUUUAUUACAAAAACACUACGUGAAAGAAACACUCUCCUUUGGACUCGCAGUUAAACAUUAUCUCCAAAAAUGAACGGAGUCUUGAAAAUCUAUGUGUUUGGAACCAUAGUGUCACUGGCAGCUGCAUUCAUCGGACUGGUGGAUUCCUUAGGCAGUUUGAUGCAUCUUCAGAAACUUGAACUCCAGGAGUCUGAAUAUGCAUGGACUGGAUACCAGCACUACCCCUGCACAGCAAAUCUGCUGCAACAAGGGUCCCUCCGAACCAAUAAAGCUGUGGGGUCAUAAACAAGUACAUUGAUAUUUGUAACUUUAUUAUUUAUUUGUUUAUUUAGCAGACGCCUUUAUCCGAGGCGACUUACAGUAACCUUAACAGCGUGCUAUUCACAUUUUUAAAAAAAAUGUAUUUGUUGAAUUAAGUACAUUUAAUAGCAAAUAAAAAAAUAAUUAUUGGUACACAUCUGCACUAUUUUAUGUGAACAACAAAGAAACAACACUGGUAUAAGCUGAAAAAUGUUACUUGAAUAAAGUUUGUUAUAAAAGGUGUUUUAGAUGUAAAAUGUACUUUUAUUGUUACAGUGAACUCUAAAGAGUAAAAUGCACUAGUACUAACGAAAAUAAUAUGCUGCUGUAUUUCGUAAUCCCCCACCAACCAGAGGGAUAGUACAGUGGAGGUGCCUGCACAACAUAAUUAUUUAGUCAUUUCUUGAGACCAAUGAAUCCAAUUUGAUUAAACCUUGUACUAGACAUUCCUUAGUUCUUAGUGUCAACUGUAUGAAACUAACAUCUGCUUGUCUGAGCUAAUUGAAAGAGUAUAUCUUGGGAACCGAUUGGCGCUAGCUCAUAUACUUUAAGAUGAAACUUUGCAUGUACAUUUUUUUCAACUGUAUUGAGUACCUUGGUUGUCUGUUUCAUGUUUAUGGAUUUAGGGCACGGUGACCACUUUUUCAAUGUUUUUUUUUUUUUUUUUUACGUUAUAUCCUUACAUACCUUUCCUCGUACAUGUAUCACAAUACCAACUACCAAGACAACAUUAUGCUUUCUGUCAGUAGUUGGAAUGUGUGGAGGCUGUAUGUGGAAAUAGGAUUGUGUUGAUUUUAAUAUGCACUGUAUUAAAAAGACAAAUAAUUUAAGCCACUGUUAAUAUGUGUUUAUUUAAUGUGCUGUUACUUUUCAAAAAUAUUACAUUUUUGUUAAUUUCUCUUUUAUUGUGUGACAUUGUGUGCCAUUAUUGCAACAUUAAAAUCGAUUUUUAACUUUC